UUGAAGAGUUUGAUCAUGGCUCAGAUUGAACGCUGGCGGCAGGCCUAACACAUGCAAGUCGAGCGGUAGCACAGAGAGCUUGCUCUCGGGUGACGAGCGGCGGACGGGUGAGUAAUGUCUGGGAAACUGCCUGAUGGAGGGGGAUAACUACUGGAAACGGUAGCUAAUACCGCAUAAUGUCGCAAGACCAAAGUGGGGGACCUUCGGGCCUCAUGCCAUCAGAUGUGCCCAGAUGGGAUUAGCUAGUAGGUGGGGUAACGGCUCACCUAGGCGACGAUCCCUAGCUGGUCUGAGAGGAUGACCAGCCACACUGGAACUGAGACACGGUCCAGACUCCUACGGGAGGCAGCAGUGGGGAAUAUUGCACAAUGGGCGCAAGCCUGAUGCAGCCAUGCCGCGUGUGUGAAGAAGGCCUUCGGGUUGUAAAGCACUUUCAGCAGGGAGGAAGGCGAUAAGGUUAAUAACCUUGUCGAUUGACGUUACCCGCAGAAGAAGCACCGGCUAACUCCGUGCCAGCAGCCGCGGUAAUACGGAGGGUGCAAGCGUUAAUCGGAAUUACUGGGCGUAAAGCGCACGCAGGCGGUCUGUCAAGUCGGAUGUGAAAUCCCCGGGCUCAACCUGGGAACUGCAUUCGAAACUGGCAGGCUAGAGGCAGCCGCGGUAAUACGGAGGCCACAAGCGUUAAUGAAAUGCGUAGAGAUCUGGAGGAAUACCGGUGGCGAAGGCGGCCCCCUGGACAAAGACUGACGCUCAGGUGCGAAAGCGUGGGGAGCAAACAGGAUUAGAUACCCUGGUAGUCCACGCCGUAAACGAUGUCGAUUUGGAGGUUGUGCCCUUGAGGCGUGGCUUCCGGAGCUAACGCGUUAAAUCGACCGCCUGGGGAGUACGGCCGCAAGGUUAAAACUCAAAUGAAUUGACGGGGGCCCGCACAAGCGGUGGAGCAUGUGGUUUAAUUCGAUGCAACGCGAAGAACCUUACCUGGUCUUGACAUCCACAGAACUUAGCAGAGAUGCUUUGGUGCCUUCGGGAACUGUGAGACAGGUGCUGCAUGGCUGUCGUCAGCUCGUGUUGUGAAAUGUUGGGUUAAGUCCCGCAACGAGCGCAACCCUUAUCCUUUGUUGCCAGCGGUCCGGCCGGGAACUCAAAGGAGACUGCCAGUGAUAAACUGGAGGAAGGUGGGGAUGACGUCAAGUCAUCAUGGCCCUUACGACCAGGGCUACACACGUGCUACAAUGGCAUAUACAAAGAGAAGCGACCUCGCGAGAGCAAGCGGACCUCAUAAAGUAUGUCGUAGUCCGGAUUGGAGUCUGCAACUCGACUCCAUGAAGUCGGAAUCGCUAGUAAUCGUAGAUCAGAAUGCUACGGUGAAUACGUUCCCGGGCCUUGUACACACCGCCCGUCACACCAUGGGAGUGGGUUGCAAAAGAAGUAGGUAGCUUAACCUUCGGGAGGGCGCUUACCACUUUGUGAUUCAUGACUGGGGUGAAGUCGUAACAAGGUAACCGUAGGGGAACCUGCGGUUGGAUCACCUCCUU
rnacentral:rRNA from 1 species